rnacentral:lncRNA from 1 species
GGUGUUGGAGAAACAAAUGGCUUGGGAUUCACCCAGGGAAGCCAUCACCUGUGAUUGGGGUUUGUUACUUACCUGGUUUGGAGAAGACGAAGAUGGAGUUUGAAGAAGAUUAACACAAGUUUGUUGUGGUGUGCUAUGUUGUUGUCACGACGCUUAAGUAAUGUAUUUGGUCGUUGUACUGUGCAUGUCAACACGUGAAUUGUUUUUUGUAAUGAACAUGGUUUAUGUAUGGGUUCACAAUGGCUUAUGUAAUAUGAUUUUGGAUUUUGAAAUGAACAUGGCUUGAGUGGCGGUGUAGCCUAUUAAGUUCUU